AAGUCGUAACAAGGUUUCCGUAGGUGAACCUGCGGAAGGAUCAUUAUCACGUAUCCACGUAUAAACCAUUGUGAACCGUUCUAUUAACCUCCAUAACGAGUCUUUUUCUGCGCAAGUGUUGAUUCACCUGAACAGAUCACCUCUUUGUGGAGCGUAUUCAACCUAUUAACCAUUUUAACCAAUCUUUAUAACUUUAUGAACUAACUUUAUUUUAUACUCCUCGGAGAUAAAAUUCAUUACGAAACAAAGAACAACUCUUAGCAACGGAUAUCUUGGUUCUC
rnacentral:misc_RNA from 1 species